rnacentral:rRNA from 1 species
GACGAACGCUGGCGGCGUGCUUAACACAUGCAAGUCGAACGGUAAGGCCCUUCGGGGUACACGAGUGGCGAACGGGUGAGUAACACGUGGGUGAUCUGCCCUGCACUUCGGGAUAAGCCUGGGGAACUGGGUCUAAUACCGGAUAGGACCCUGGGAUGGAUGACCUGGGGUGGAAAGCUUUUGCGGUGUGGGAUGGGCCCGCGGCCUAUCAGCUUGUUGGUGGGGUGAUGGCCUACCAAGGCGACGACGGGUAGCCGGCCUGAGAGGGUGACCGGCCACACUGGGACUGAGAUACGGCCCAGACUCCUACGGGAGGCAGCAGUGGGGAAUAUUGCACAAUGGGCGCAAGCCUGAUGCAGCGACGCCGCGUGAGGGAUGACGGCCUUCGGGUUGUAAACCUCUUUCAGCACCGACGAAGCGCAAGUGACGGUAGGUGCAGAAGAAGGACCGGCCAACUACGUGCCAGCCGCCGCGGUAA